rnacentral:misc_RNA from 1 species
UUAAUUCAUAAAAAUAGUACUCAAUUCCAUGAUUAGAAGGCCUAAGACUGAUUAAGGAAAGAGACCAAUUUUUUCAACAUGGCCAUGGCAUUUUCAGCUUCAGGAGCAAACAGGUGAAAAACAUGUUCCUCAUCUUUAACUUCCACAACUUCCACCGUCCCCGGCCACCCACUCUUCUCCAACGCCUCCUUAUAGUAUAAUCCCCUGAGUCUCAAUGCAUCUUUUCCGGCCACAUACACAACUACUUUCUCACACCCUAAGCUACACAAUUUCGGAUCCUUUUCCGGGUUAAUCAAUGGGUCAUCUAAUCCCGAGCCGUUGGGAUUCGCAAACAGCCAUAGCUUAUCAAUAAAAUCCUUGACAAACAAGUUUUCUCCCUCACCGUCAAUCAGAUCCUUCCCCCAGAAAUAUGGACAGGCAAGGAAAAUCCCAUCAAGUUUCACACCCUCCAACUUUUCCAACCCGACCCGAAUGGCCAUAUGGUGUGCGAUGUUACCACCCGCACUAUCUCCCCCAAAAUAGACGCGAUUGAAAUUGGCAUGGUCUUUUAGCCAUGGUUCAUAACCAUCACCAUUAGCAUGUGAAGCGAUCCAUUUGAGAGCUAUCCAUGAAUCUUCAUAUGCUAUGGGUAACGGGUACUCAGGAGCUAACCUGUAGUUAAUAGAGACAAUGAUGACUUUUGCUUCAGCUGCUACCAUGCUUAGAUGCUUGUGAUAGGUAGGUGAAGAAGCAGAUUCGAUUACAAAAGCGCCGCCGUGAAAGUAGACGAAAAGGGGGAUUUUCUGAACCGGGUCGACAUUUUUGGGCAGGUAAAGUCUCGCUGAUAGGUUAAUUUGUGGAUCAAUUUCAAUGUCUUUGAUCUGUACUCCGGUUUCAGGAUCCGAUUCAGGUGGGACAAAACCUUCACCCAUCAUCCUCUCGAUUCGACCAUCUCUGUAAACUCUAAUCAGUGGGGAAAGGUCAUGUUCUAUUUCCG